CUGACCUGUCUGUCCCUCUGUCUCCCUCUGUCUGUCUGUGUUGACCUGUCUGUCCCUCUGUCUGUUCUGACCUGUCUGUCACCUCUCUCCCUCUUGUCUCUCUCAUCCCUGUGUCUUGCUCUCCCUGCUUCACCUGUCUGCACUCAGCUGAUUACUGCAGGUGACACUCGUUGCAGUAAUCAGCUCACCUGCCCACAGUCUCAGCUGCUCACUAUCUAAACCUCAAUCCUUCACUCACUCUCUGCUGGAUCAUAAAGGAUCACAUUUCUUCAGAGAUUUUGCUUCCCUUCUGGAUCCUGUUCUCCCCACUGAGCCCUGCUGCCUUUUGACUGCCUCAGCCCCCAUGGGCUCUGCUCUUCUCCCCCUGGAUUCCCUGGGUUUGCUUCCCUGCCCCUUCCAUCUAGUUUUUCCCCUAGUUUGACAGCAAGGACUCUGAGGACGCCGUCAUCAAAUUACAGCGAGCCGCUAAAGGUCCCGGUCCCAGGAGCUGCAGCUGCCACCAGCACACAGACUGCUACCAGUGGAGCUAAUUUAAAAGAGCCUCUUCAUGUAGCCAAAGGCUAAUGCUUCUCCCUCAAAGGCAGCUCCUGGGACGUCCUGGAGCCCAGCUGGCUGCGGCACACACCACGUCCUCGCUCUGACACCGGCUGAAGACCAACUCACUAAACUAAUCGCUCUACACAUUCUGUAAAAAUGAAGCAUUUGCUGUUCGGUGUCUGAGGUGUGGUUGCACCAAAUUGCACAUAAACAACGUGUUUCUUUAACCCUCAUGUUGUCCUGUGGGUCAAAUUGACCUGUUUUAAAGUUUGAAAAUGUGGAACAAAUAACUUCUGAUGUCCACAUUUUCAACACCUUUGGGAAAUUUCUCAACGUUUUUUUGAUGGAAAACAGAAAUGUGAAAAAAAAUGUUUCUUUAAGAACAUUAACAAAAAAUCAAACAAAAUCCAGCGGAAUUCACUGGAUUUUGAUUAAUUUUUUUGUGAAUGUUCUUAAAGAAAAUAUUAGAAGUCUUACUGAUAUAUAUGGAAUCACUUUAGAUAUUUUUAGGAUUUUUUUUGGAAGAUUUAUUUCAUUUUUUGAAAAUAUUUACAAGAAUUUUCUUGACAAAUUUGGGGGAUUUUUAAAAAUAAAAUUCCUAAAGGAAACUUUUAAUUUUGUUCCUGAAGGUUUUGCAAAUUUCCAGAAAUUUGGGGAAUUUUUUUGCUGAAUUUUUGGAUUUUUUUUUUUCAGACAAGGAAACAAUAUUUUUUGGUGCUGGUAAAUGAAGACAACAGGAGGGUUAAAGACAUUCUAUAUUUUUACCUCCUAUCAGGCAUCGUGGAGGACAUAUUGGAAUAAUGUGUCCUGCAGCACAACUGUGUGGAGGAUAAUUAACUGUGAGCUCACCUUUACACAUCACAAAGACGUGAAAAUGGCUUGUCUGAAUCGUGCCAUUAUCACAUCAGCCAUUCAGGGCGGGGAAUGCAAUUUUCACAUUAUAAGCAUCCAUUAAACAUAUUGUAGAAGCCGUGGUGAGAAAUGAAAGGAUCAUUUCCAAAUGAGUCACUAUAAUUUCAUUCAAACUAACCAGGUCACUGCAAACACUGUGUCGUUACACUCAGUUCACUUAUGCAUCAUCAUUAUGUUGAAGGUUUCUCUGUGUGGUUGUUUGCUCAAAUUAAACUGCAGAGGUGUGUAUGAUGGCAUGGAAUUAUUUACAAGAUGUUUGAGUUGAGUGUUGUUUUCCUGAGCUCCAGAUGCCUGCACAAUGCAUAGUCACAUGGGGAGCAAUGAUUGUGUUGUUGUGGCCAAAAACUUGCACAGAACCAUCAUGCUAUGGGCAGGUGCACAGAACAGUUGAAGUUGUGUCGUCCUGUGGGUCAAAAUUGACCCAUUGUAAAGAUUGAAAAUGUGGAAAAAAUUGUAUUUUCACAGUGAAACUUCUGAUGUCCACAUUUUCAACAUUUUUGGGAAAUCUUUGAACAUUUUUUGGUGGAAAAAAAGAAAUGUUAAAAAUGU